UUUAUAAUAUAAUUUUCUCGCAACACUGCGGACUUGACGUCAACGACGUGAUGGUGUUUAGUUUCCAUCGCAUGCAUGCGGCGGCGAAGCCUCGGGUCGGGAGCAAACAUUUUCUUUAUAUUUUUGCCAUUUGUGAUGAACAAAAUAAUAUGGCCGCAGUGGACUUCAAUUUGUUUGCAGUUGACCCGGUCCAUUCACAGUCUACGAAGGUGCCGCAAACUCGACCGCAAAUCAUCUUUAUUCCUGAUCGCUGUGCUAGAUGCCUUCUCAUUCCCAACAGAUCGCUAUCAGGACCCAUUUUACCAGAUUACAGCUUAACUAGAUUCAACUAAAAUCUGUACAUCAUGUACAUCACGGCAAGGUUAGAAUGACGGAAUUGUGCCGGUUGGAAGGAAUUACUCUGGAACACUUGUGACACUCCGGACGAGACAACUCAGUGGCUAAUUACUAAUCACCAUUUGAUUCGUUUGAAGUCCGAAAGUUCAUGUUCACGAUGACGUGCUGCCCCUGGAUGCCACCUAAGAGCUACGGAUGGACCGAUCAGGACAAAGAAUUAAACUUAAGGCUUCCAGACGAACAAUGCCACCGAUAAAAAAACGAUCUGUGCACAUAAUUUAUUUUUCUUGCUCAAAUUCUAUAUGCAGUAUAGAUAAUAUAAAUAUGAACACAAUUAAA